GAUGAAGAACGUAGCGAAAUGCGAUAAGUAGUGUGAAUUGCAGAAUUCAGUGAAUCAUCGAAUCUUUGAACCCACAUUGCGCCCCUUGGUAUCCCGAGGGGCAUGCCUGUUCGAGCGUCAUUUCACCACUCAAGCCUGGCUUGGUGUUGGGCGACGUCCCCUUUGGGGACGCGCCUCGAAACGCUCGGCGGCGUGGCACCGGCUUUAAGCGUAGCAGAAUCUUUCGCUUUGGAAGUCGGGGCCCCGUCUGCCGGAAGACCUACUCGCAAGGUUGACCUCGGAUCAGGCAGGGAUACCCGCUGAACUUAAGCAUAUCAAUAAGCGGAGGA
rnacentral:misc_RNA from 1 species